CCCUGGUUAGCUCAGUUGGUAGAGCGCUCCACCUGUAAUGGAGAGGUCCCGGGUUCGAUGCCCGGACCAGGCG
rnacentral:tRNA from 2 species